UACAGAGGGGGCAAGCGUUAUUCGGAAUUAUUGGGCGUAAAGGGCGCGUAGGCGGCUUGGCAAGUGGAUGGUGAAAUCCCUCGGCUUAACCGAGGAACUGCCGUCCAAACUGCUUCGCUUGAGACCAGGAGAGGUGAGUGGAAUUCCCAGUGUAGCGGUGAAAUGCGUAGAUAUUGGGAGGAACACCAGUGGCGAAGGCGGCUCACUGGCCCGUAACUGACGCUGAGGUGCGAAAGCGUGGGGAGCAAACAGG
rnacentral:rRNA from 1 species